rnacentral:rRNA from 1 species
CCGCUAGAAAUUCCGGAUAACCAUUCGUAGGGGAAUAUUUUCGCGAGCCUUGAACCCACCGCCUGUCCCACCAUGGGAGGUGGUCUGCCGGAAGUCGUUACUCCAGCGUGCGAAGGAGGAGGAUGAAGAAGGCAUGCCCGAUUUAAGGAGACGUCGUAACAUGGUGAAUAUAAAUGCGCGCGACCGCACAGAGCGCGCGCCAC